rnacentral:misc_RNA from 1 species
GAUGAAGAACGUAGCUAAAUGCGAUAAGUAAUGUGAAUUGCAGAAUUCAGUGAAUCAUCGAAUCUUUGAACGCACAUUGCGCCCGCCAGUAUUCUGGCGGGCAUGCCUGUUCGAGCGUCAUUUCAACCAUCAAGCCUCCGGCUUGUGUUGGGGACCUGCGGCUGCCGCAGGCCCUGAAAAGCAGUGGCGGGCUCGCUGUCACACCGAGCGUAGUAGCAUACAUCUCGCUCUGGGCGUGCUGCGGGUUCCGGCCGUUAAACCACCUUCAUAACCCAAGGUUGACCUCGGAUCAGGUAGGAAGACCCGCUGAACUUAAGCAUAUCAAUAAGCGGAGGA